rnacentral:rRNA from 1 species
UACGAAGGGGGCGAGCGUUGUUCGGAUUUACUGGGCGUAAAGGGCGCGUAGGCGGCCCUCUUUGUCGCGUGUGAAAGCCCCGGGCUCAACCUGGGAAUGGCGCGCGAAACGGGGGGGCUGGAGUUCGGGAGAGGAGCGUGGAAUUCCCAGUGUAGAGGUGAAAUUCGUAGAUAUUGGGAAGAACACCGGUGGCGAAGGCGGCGCUCUGGACCGAGACUGACGCUGAGGCGCGAAAGCGUGGGGAGCAAACAGG